rnacentral:snRNA from 1 species
AGCUUUGCGCAGUGGCAGUAUCGUAACCAAUGAGGUUUAUCCGAGGCGCGAUUAUUGCUAAUCGAAAUGUGGGAGGUAAACGACCUCAGCAGUGCUGAAGAUGCAGGAACUCAUCAGAGGGCUCCUGAGAGC